GAGAAGUAGACAGUGUGUGUGUGUGUUUGCCCACAUUGUUAGCUGGAAAUCAGAUUUCACAAGCUCCUCAGGGGUUAAUACCCUUAAACUGUCAGAAUAUUUAAGAAGGUAUACAUAAGUGGUUUAUUCUUUUGUGAACAUUCCUUAGUGUCACUGUGUGUGUGUGUGUGUGUGUGUGUGUGCAUGCUCAUGCUUGCCUGCAGAAGUCAGCAGCUCCAUUUUGUUACGACUGAAAAAUAAAACAUUUCAGGAGUAAAAACACAUAUAAACUGUAAUGAGUGAAAGUCAGCAGCUCCAUUUUGUGACGAGUGAAAACUAAAAGAUGUCAGGAGUAAAAACACAUAUCUCCAGUGUACAGUGUGGAUUCUUCAGUCCAUUAGAGAGCAGCUUCACUCCUGAAUCCUGCAGUUUAUUGCGACUCAGGUUCAGUUUUCUCAGACUGGAGGAGUUUGAGCUGAGAACUGAGGACAGAACUCUACAGCUUUCCUCUGUCAGAUUACACUUCCACAGCCUGGAAGAGAAAUGAUGAAAUAUCAGAACACUGAUCUCAAACACACACACAGCCACAAUCCAGCUAAAGUUGAAGAUGUAACAGAAAUGUCAGUGUGUUUAUGUCACACACACAAAUCAGAGGACAGGGACACCACAGAACUAGCUAUUACAACCCAUCAAUACUGACACCAUCAACAACUGAAUCAUUUGUAGAAGUUUUUGUAACAUUACUGAUGAUCUGAAUCCAUUGGGAUUUUGUCAUAAUAAAUCAGAUAUCACAUAUAAAA